rnacentral:rRNA from 1 species
UACAGAGGGUGCAAGCGUUAAUCGGAGUUACUGGGCGUAAAGGGCGCGUAGGCGGAUAUUUAAGUCGGAUGUGAAAUCCCUGGGCUCAACCUAGGAAUUGCAUUCGAUACUGAAUAUCUAGAGUAUGGUAGAGGAAAGCGGAAUUCCCGGUGUAGUGGUAAAAUACGUAGAUAUCGGGAAGAACACCAGUGGCGAAGGCGGCUUUCUGGCCCAAUACUGACGCUGAGGCGCGAAAGCGUGGGGAGCAAACAGG